AGAACCAUUUGGGGACUAAGGUAUUUUUCUGUAUUUUCUGUGUUGUAUUUUUCUGUCCUCAUGAAUCCCUGUUGUCUCUCAGAAACUCCAAUUGCUCAUCCAGGAGACCACUUGAUGUGACAAGGCUCACUGACUCUGAGCUCCAGGUAUGCAGAGUGGGUCCAGUUGGUGGAGGUCUGCCAGGCUGUCAUGUUUCAGUUCCAUCUCCAUCAUCACUAAGACAGAUAUUGAACGCAUGAGGAGGAGGAGGACGAGGAGUGCAGGUCCAUCCUGACCACACUGAAUCCAGACUGCCCUCAAUCCAUUAAGGACUGAAGAUUGUACCAGGCCAUGAAAUCAUCCAAAACUUAAGUUUUAAAAAUAUUUUCAUUAAUUAAAAACAAGCAUUAUCCAAGUUCUAAAGUAGCAGUACAUUUAUCCAAAAUAAUAUUUUUUUCUAUGAUCAAUUUUGUUACAAUUAUCUAAAACACAGACAGGUAUGCAAACAUUACCUAAUAUUUUUAUCGAAACAGGUGGUAGUGU
rnacentral:lncRNA from 1 species